GCGUCCUCAACUUUGCUCCCGGAUAGCUACUGCAGGGCGACGGUCGAAGGCGUGAUGAUAGUUCUAUUGCUGUUCUGUUAGCCCAGUGUAGCGAAGGUCAUGACCUAGUCGACUAUAUCUGUGUGACUGUGAUUGUAUUUGUAUAUGUGUUAUUACAUUAACAGAGCAUGUAACCGUGUCAUAUGAGAGAAGGAGCCCAGUAUGUAAUUUGAAGCUUGUAAUUACACUUGUGGAGCUUGUAAUUUUUGUUGUCAAUGUAUCUAUAACAGAUUUAUUCUCA